rfam:Myotis brandtii contig284161, whole genome shotgun sequence.
UUGGUGGCUCAGUGGUUAGAGCAUUGGCCUUAGCACCAGUGGGUCGCAGGUUCAAUUCCUGGCCAA